rnacentral:rRNA from 1 species
AACGAACGCUGGCGGCAUGCCUAACACAUGCAAGUCGAACGAAGCCUUCGGGUUUAGUGGCGCACGGGUGCGUAACGCGUGGGAAUCUGCCCUUGGGUUCGGAAUAACAGUUAGAAAUGACUGCUAAUACCGAAUGAUGUCUUCGGACCAAAGAUUUAUCGCCCAAGGAUGAGCCCGCGUCGGAUUAGCUAGUUGGUGAGGUAAAGGCUCACCAAGGCGACGAUCCGUAGCUGGUCUGAGAGGAUGAUCAGCCACACUGGGACUGAGACACGGCCCAGACUCCUACGGGAGGCAGCAGUGGGGAAUAUUGGACAAUGGGCGAAAGCCUGAUCCAGCAAUGCCGCGUGAGUGAUGAAGGCCUUAGGGUUGUAAAGCUCUUUUACCCGGGAUGAUAAUGACAGUACCGGGAGAAUAAGCCCCGGCUAACUCCGUGCCAGCAGCCGCGGUAAU